rnacentral:rRNA from 1 species
AUUGACCUAGCGGCGGACGGGUGAGUAAUACUUAGGAAUCUGCCUAUUAAUGGGGGACAACAUCUCGAAAGGGAUGCUAAUACCGCAUACGCCCUACGGGGGAAAGCAGGGGAUCACUUGUGACCUUGCGUUAAUAGAUGAGCCUAAGUCGGAUUAGCUAGUUGGUGGGGUAAAGGCCUACCAAGGCGACGAUCUGUAGCGGGUCUGAGAGGAUGAUCCGCCACACUGGGACUGAGACACGGCCCAGACUCCUACGGGAGGCAGCAGUGGGGAAUAUUGGACAAUGGGGGGAACCCUGAUCCAGCCAUGCCGCGUGUGUGAAGAAGGCCUUAUGGUUGUAAAGCACUUUAAGCGAGGAGGAGGCUCUCUUGGUUAAUACCCAAGAUGAGUGGACGUUACUCGCAGAAUAAGCACCGGCUAACUCUGUGCCAGCAGCCGCGGUAAUACAGAGGGUGCGAGCGUUAAUCGGAUUUACUGGGCGUAAAGCGUGCGUAGGCGGCUUUUUAAGUCGGAUGUGAAAUCCCCGAGCUUAACUUGGGAAUUGCAUUCGAUACUGGGAAGCUAGAGUAUGGGAGAGGAUGGUAGAAUUCCAGGUGUAGCGGUGAAAUGCGUAGAGAUCUGGAGGAAUACCGAUGGCGAAGGCAGCCAUCUGGCCUAAUACUGACGCUGAGGUACGAAAGCAUGGGGGAGCAAACAGGAUUAGAUACCCUGGUAGUCCAUGCCGUAAACGAUGUCUACUA